UGCGGAGGGUGCAAGCGUUAUCCGGAUUCACUGGGUUUAAAGGGUGCGUAGGAGGGCAGGUAAGUCAGUGGUGAAAUCCCCGAGCUUAACUUGGGAACUGCCGUUGAUACUAUCUGUCUUGAAUAUCGUGGAGGUGAGCGGAAUAUGUCAUGUAGCGGUGAAAUGCUUAGAUAUGACAUAGAACACCAAUUGCGAAGGCAGCUCGCUACACGAAUAUUGACUCUGAGGCACGAAAGCGUGGGGAUCAAACAGG
rnacentral:rRNA from 1 species